rnacentral:rRNA from 1 species
UCCAGACUCCUACGGGAGGCAGCAGUGGGGAAUAUUGCGCAAUGGGGGCAACCCUGACGCAGCAACGCCGCGUGAUUGAAGAAGGCCUUCGGGUUGUAAAGAUCUUUAAUCAGGGACGAAAAAUGACGGUACCUGAAGAAUAAGCUCCGGCUAACUACGUGCCAGCAGCCGCGGUAAUACGUAGGUGGCGAGCGUUAUCCGGAAUUACUGGGUGUAAAGGGUGUGUAGGCGGGAGUGCAAGUCAGACGUGAAAACUAUGGGGCCAACCCAUAACGUGCGUUUGAAACUGUGGUUCUUGAGAGUGGGAGAGGUAAACGGAAUUCCUGGGGUAGUAGGGAAAUGCGUAGAUAUCAGGAGGAACACCGGUGGCGAAGGCGGUUUACUGGACCACAACUGACG